rnacentral:rRNA from 1 species
UAAGACAGAGGAGCCAAGCGUUGUCCGGAUUGACUGGGCGUAAAGCGCACGCAGGCGGUCGUGCACGUGGGGUGUGAAAACUGGCGGCUUAACUGCCAGAGGCCACCUCAUACGGCGCGACUCGAGCCAUGCAGAGGUCCACGGAAUUGCCGGUGUAGUGGUGAAAUGCGUAGAGAUCGGCAGGAACACCCAGGGGGAAACCAGUGGACUGGGCAUGUGCUGACGCUCAGGUGCGAAAGCGUGGGGAGCGAACCGGAUUAGAUACCCGGGUAGUCCACGCCGUAAACGAUGAAUACUCGGCAUCUGAUGGGCGAUUCUCGUCCGUCGGGUGCCCUAGCUAACGCGAUAAGUAUUCCGCCUGGGAACUACGAGCGCAAGCUUA